ACACGUGGAUAACUUGCCCUCAAGACAGGGAUAACCCCGGGAAACUGGGGAUAAUACCUGAUAGGCUAUGGUUCCUGGAAUGGUCUAUAGCUCAAAUGCGUUAGCGCUUGAGGAUGGGUCUGCGUCUGAUUAGGUUGUUGCCGGUGUAACGUACCGACAAGCCGAUAAUCAGUACGGGUUGUGAGAGCAAGAGCCCGGAGAUGGAUUCUGAGACAUGAAUCCAGGCCCUACGGGGCGCAGCAGGCGCGAAACCUUCACACUGCGCGCAAGCGCGAUGAGGGAACCUCGAGUGUCGGUGCCAAGCAUCGACUGUCCCGUUGCCUAAAUAGCAGCGGUUAGCAAGGGCCGGGCAAGACCGGUGCCAGCCGCCGCGGUAACACCGGCGGCUCGAGUGGUGAUCACUAUUAUUGAGCUUAAAGGGUCCGUAGCCGGUCUGGUAACUCUCUUGGGAAAUCUGGCGGCUUAACCGUCAGGCGUCCGGGAGAAACUGCCAGACUUGGGAGCGGGGGAGGUUGGAGGUACUCCAGGGGUAGAGGUGAAAUUCUGUAAUCCUUGGGGGACCACCAGUGGCGAAGGCGUCCAACCAAAACGCGUCCGACGGUGAGGGACGAAAGCCAGGGGCACGAACCGGAUUAGAUA
rnacentral:rRNA from 1 species